rnacentral:lncRNA from 12 species
AAGACAAAUUCAUCUACCCCAAGAAAAAAGUAGGGAUAUGUACAAAACUGUUGAUGACGCUGUGCUACAACUCUCAAGGAUUCUUUUUCUACCCAGGCCAGGAUCUUGUAAAUCAACAUUCUGUGCCUGGGAUUUACUGUGCUCAGUGAGCUCCUGCUAAGGGCAGUCAGGAUCUUCAAAGACAGGGUGAGAUCAAAGUGUGGCAAAGCCUCUCCCUUCCAGGCAUUCCCAAAUCCUCUCUGAUGAGUUUGGAUGCCCAAGAGGAACAACAUCCUUCAGAUGCUGUCCC